GUGCCAGCAGCUGCGGUAAUACGGAGGGUGCAAGCGUUAAUCGGAAUUACUGGGCGUAAAGCGCACGCAGGCGGUUUGUUAAGUCAGAUGUGAAAUCCCCGGGCUCAACCUGGGAACUGCAUCUGAUACUGGCAAGCUUGAGUCUCGUAGAGGGGGGUAGAAUUCCAGGUGUAGCGGUGAAAUGCGUAGAGAUCUGGAGGAAUACCGGUGGCGAAGGCGGCCCCCUGGACGAAGACUGACGCUCAGGUGCGAAAGCGUGGGGAGCAAACAGGAUUAGAUACCCUGGUAGUCCACGCCGUAAACGAUGUCGACUUGGAGGUUGUGCCCUUGAGGCGUGGCUUCCGGAGCUAACGCGUUAAGUCGACCGCCUGGGGAGUACGGCCGCAAGGUUAAAACUCAAAUGAAUUGACGGGGGCCCGCACAAGCGGUGGAGCAUGUGGUUAAUUCGAUGCAACGCGAAGAACCUUACCUGGUCUGUACAUCCACGGAAGUUUCAGAGAUGA
rnacentral:rRNA from 1 species